UACGUAGGUGACAAGCGUUGUCCGGAUUUACUGGGCGUAAAGAGCGCGCAGGCGGUCGUUCAAGUCGAGUGUGAAAGCCCCCGGCUCAACUGGGGAGGGUCACUCGAUACUGAUCGACUCGAAGGCAGGAGAGGGUAGUGGAAUUCCCGGUGUAGUGGUGAAAUGCGUAGAUAUUGGGAAGAACACCGGUGGCGAAGGCGGCUCUCUGGACCGUAACUGACGCUGAGGCGCGAAAGCGUGGGGAGCAAACAGG
rnacentral:rRNA from 1 species